GGGUUGUGAGGUUAAGCGACUAAGCGUACACGGUGGAUGCCCUGGCAGUCAGAGGCGAUGAAGGGCGUGCUAAUCUGCGAUAAGCGCCGGUAAGGUGAUAUGAACCGUUAUAACCGGCGAUACCCGAAUGGGGAAACCCAGUGUGACUCGUCACACUAUCAUUAACUGAAUCCAUAGGUUAAUGAGGCGAACCGGGGGAACUGAAACAUCUAAGUACCCCGAGGAAAAGAAAUCAACCGAGAUUCCCCCAGUAGCGGCGAGCGAACGGGGAGGAGCCCAGAGCCUGAAUCA
rnacentral:rRNA from 1 species